rnacentral:rRNA from 1 species
GGGAGGCAGCAGUGGGGAAUUUUGGACAAUGGGCGAAAGCCUGAUCCAGCAAUGCCGCGUGAGUGAAGAAGGCCUUCGGGUUGUAAAGCUCUUUUGUCAGGGAAGAAACGGUUUGGGCUAAUACCCUGAGCUAAUGACGGUACCUGAAGAAUAAGCACCGGCUAACUACGUGCCAGCAGCCGCGGUAA